rnacentral:rRNA from 1 species
UACAGAGGGUGCAAACGUUGUUCGGAAUUACUGGGCGUAAAGCGCGUGCAGGCGGCCUUGCAAGUCGGACGUGAAAUCCCACGGCUCAACCGUGGAAGUGCAUUCGAAACUGCGAGGCUGGAGUCCUGGAGAGGGUAGCGGAAUUCCCAGUGUAGAGGUGAAAUUCGUAGAUAUUGGGAAGAACACCGGUGGCGAAGGCGGCGACCUGGUCCGUGACUGACGCUGAGGCGCGAAAGCGUGGGGAGCAAACAGG